AUCCAGCCCACAGCUGAAGCUUCUAAGGGAAGAGAGAAAGUGGACAGCGAGUUGCUAUCUACAGAUCUCAGCUUCUGGCCAGCCCAGAACCGAGCUGUGUGCUGAGGACUCAGGGGUCAUGGAGUCAAGGCCUGCACAGCCCAAGUCUCCCCCAACAUCAAGGCCACCUCACAGCACAUGCAGACAUUUUAUUUUGAGCAACUGUAAACCCACAGGAAAUUUAAAACAUUAGCACAAAUGUGUCCAUCAUCUGGAUUCACCAAUGAACCUUUUGC
rnacentral:lncRNA from 1 species